rnacentral:rRNA from 1 species
GACGAACGCUGGCGGCGUGCUUAACACAUGCAAGUCGAACGAAGUGGCGAACGGGUGAGUAACGCGUAAUCAACCUGCCCUUCAGCGGGGCACAACAGUUGGAAACGACUGCUAAUACCGCAUACUGAAGGUGGGGAUUCCGUCUGAUUAGCUAGUUGGAGGGGUAACGGCCCACCAAGGCGAGGAUCAGUAGCCGGUCUGAGAGGAUGAACGGCCAAAUUGGGACUGAGAACCGGCCCAGACUCCUACGGGAGGCAGCAGUGGGGAAUCUUCCGCAAAGGAAGAAAGGCUGGCGGGGCAACGCCGCGUGAGUGAUGACGGCCUUCGGGUUGUAAAGCUCUGUUAAUCGGGACGCGGUACCGGAAUAGAAAGCCACGGCUAACUACGUGCCAGCCGCCGCGGUAAUAC